rnacentral:rRNA from 1 species
UAGGGAAUCUUCCACAAUGGGCGCAAGCCUGAUGGAGCAACACCGCGUGAGUGAAGAAGGGUUUCGGCUCGUAAAGCUCUGUUGUUAAAGAAGAACACGUAUGAGAGUAACUGUUCAUACGUUGACGGUAUUUAACCAGAAAGCCACGGCUAACUACGUGCUAG